rnacentral:rRNA from 1 species
GAUCCAGCCAUGCCGCGUGAGUGAAGAAGGCCUUCGGGUUGUAAAGCUCUUUCGGCCGGGAAGAAAUCGCAUGGGGUCAAUACCCUGUGUGGAUGACGGUACCGGAAUAAGAAGCACCGGCUAACUACGUGCCAGCAGCCGCGGUAAUACGUAGGGUGCGAGCGUUAAUCGGAAUUACUGGGCGUAAAGCGUGCGCAGGCGGUUUGGUAAGUCAGAUGUGAAAAUCCCCGGGGCUCAACCUGGGGAACUGCAUUUGAGACUGCCAAGCUGGAGUUUGGCAGAGGGGGGUGGAAUUCCACGUGUAGCAGUGAAAUGCGUAGAGAUGUGGAGGAACACCGAUGGCGAAGGCAGCCCCCUGGGCCAAUACUGACGCUCAUGCACGAAAGCGUGGGGAGCAAACAGGAUUAGAUACCCUGGUAGUCCACGCCCUAAACGAUGUCAACUAGGUGUUGGGAGGGUUAAACCUUUUAGUGCCGUAGCUAACGCGUGAAGUUGACCGCCUGGGGAGUACGGCCGCAAGGCUAAAACUCAAAGGAAUUGACGGG